rnacentral:rRNA from 1 species
GGGCCCGCACAAGCGGUGGAGCAUGUGGUUCAAUUCGAAGCAACGCGAAGAACCUUACCAGCCCUUGACAUCCCGGUCGCGAGCACCAGAGAUGGAGCUCUUCAGUUCGGCUGGACCGGAGACAGGUGCUGCAUGGCUGUCGUCAGCUCGUGUCGUGAGAUGUUGGGUUAAGUCCCGCAACGAGCGCAACCCUCGCCCUUAGUUGCCAUCAUUUAGUUGGGCACUCUAAGGGGACUGCCGGUGAUAAGCCGGAGGAAGGUGGGGAUGACGUCAAGUCCUCAUGGCCCUUACGGGCUGGGCUACACACGUGCUACAAUGGCGGUGACAGAGGGAUGCAAAGGAGCAAUCCUUCGCAAAUCUCAAAAAGCCGUCUCAGUUCGGAUUGUGCUCUGCAACUCGAGCACAUGAAGUUGGAAUCGCUAGUAAUCGCAGAUCAGCACGCUGCGGUGAAUACGUUCCCGGGCCUU